rnacentral:rRNA from 1 species
UACGAAGGGUACAAGCGUUAGUCGGAAUUACUGGGCGUAAAGCGUGCGUAGGUGGUCUCUUAAGUCCGUUGUGAAAGCCCUGGGCUCAACCUGGGAACUGCAGUGGAUACUGAGAAGCUAGAGUGUGUCAGAGGAUGGUGGAAUUCCCGGUGUAGCGGUGAAAUGCGCAGAUAUCGGGAGGAACACCCGUAGCGAAGGCGGCACUCUGGGCCGUGACUGACGCUGAGGAGCGAAAGCGUGGGAGCAACAGGAUAGAA